UGCGCAGGUGGGCUUGUAAGUCAGUGGUGAAAUACUGCCGCUUAACGGUAGAACUGCCAUUGAUACUGCAAGUCUUGAAUAUGGUUGAGGUAGGCGGAAUGUGUCGUGUAGCGGUGAAAUGCAUAGAUAUGACACAGAACGCCGAUUGCGAAGGCAACUUACUAAGCCAUUACUGACGCUGAGGCACGAAAGCGUGGGGAGCGAACAGGAUUAGAUACCCUGGUAGUCC
rnacentral:rRNA from 1 species